rnacentral:rRNA from 1 species
UACGGGGGGGGCAAGCGUUGUUCGGUAUUAUUGGGCGUAAAGGGCGCGUAGGCGGCCAUGCGUGUCUUCCGUGAAAUCCCUCGGCUUAACUGAGGACGUGCGGAAGAAACUGCAAGGCUCGAGUCCGGGAGAGGGGGGUGGAAUUCCCAGUGUAGCGGUGAAAUGCGUAGAUAUUGGGAGGAACACCGGUGGCGAAGGCGGCCCCCUGGACCGGUACUGACGCUGAGGCGCGAAAGCGUGGGUAGCAAACGGG